rnacentral:rRNA from 1 species
AUUGAACGCUGGCGGCAGGCCUAACACAUGCAAGUCGAGCGGAUGCAGGGAGCUUGCUCCUGGAUUCAGCGGCGGACGGGUGUGUAAUGCCUAGGAAUCUGCCUGGUAGUGGGGGAUAACGUCCGGAAACGGGCGCUAAUACCGCAUACGUCCUGAGGGAGAAAGUGGGGGAUCUUCGGACCGCACGCUAUCAGAUGAGCCUAGGUCGGAUUAGCUAGUUGGUGGGGUAAAGGCCUACCAAGGCAACGAUCCGUAACUGGUCUGAGAGGAUGAUCAGUCACACUGGAACUGAGACACGGUCCAGACUCCUACGGGAGGCAGCAGUGGGGAAUAUUGGACAAUGGGCGAAAGCCUGAUCCAGCCAUGCCGCGUGUGUGAAGAAGGUCUUCGGAUUGUAAAGCACUUUAAGUUGGGAGGAAGGGCAGUAAGUUAAUACCUUGCUGUUUUGACGUUACCAAAAGAAUAAGCACCGGCUAACUUCGUG